CUCAUGGAAAAAUAAUUAAUAGGGGGUGAAAUGUAAAAUGUCUAAAAGUUAGAAAAAAAAGAAUUUCUUUUCGUUUUUAAUUUGCUUUCUUUUGUCCUGUGAAAGUCAGGAGGGGCUUUCCAAUAGCUUUCUCCUCUUCUGACGCUCCUCCUUCUCACCACCAGAUGUCAGACUUUCACUGCAAAUUUCAAUUCCUCCCUGGCAUAGGCGACACCGUUAUCUUUUUAUUUGUGAAUGUUCACUAUUGCGAAAUCAUCUUUUUCAACUUCUGCACACGACUUCAAAACUUAUCUUUGAAUAUGAAUUUGCAGACGUUGAUUAUAGCUGUUUCAGGCAUACUUUUGCAGUUUCUAUACCUGAAGCUGCCACCGUCAGCCAAGGAUCCAGAAGCUGCAGUGGGGGGACAUCUUCAUCAUCUUCACUGCCGAUUGGGGUGACGCCACCUUGGAAGAAAGAGAAGUGGAGAGUUUUUUUCCGAAUAGGAGGCCAAUGGAGUUCCCCUGCCAAUGGAGUUAGCAAGCUGUAAAACACGUGGUACCAUCACCUGCCCGAAGAGAUGAUGAGUUUGUCAUUCAGGAAUUAAACCACGAGUGCGUGUUGAGGGUAUACUCAAUCCCAGCACGGUGCAAAGUAUCAGGAAGAAACACAGAAGACUCAAAGCAGUCCACAUACCCUGCAAAAGCUCUCAACUUUGCAGUCAGAGAAAGACAAAUGUCAUAAGAUUUCACUCGUGUGGAAUCUAAGAAACAAAACAGAUGAAUACAGAGGAAGGGAAGGAAAAAUAAGGAAGAAAUAAAUAAAUAAGAAAAAUAAGAUAAAAACA
rnacentral:lncRNA from 1 species